UGGAACUUGUGGGUGAGGGGAGACGUCGUGUCUAACCAGACGCCGCUGGUAAAGAGAGCGAUUGCACUAUCCGACCCUGCAGUUGAAAGGAAAGUUACUGUCCGGCCGAAUUCCGAGAACGAAGAAGAAUCACAAUCCAGUAGGUCGCCAGAGUUGUGAAAAGUCCACCGUCCAUCUGAUCCACAGGUGUGAGGAGAGUUACUGUGUUGUCUGAGGGAAACCAGAUUGAUUGUUGAGCCCGACCCCAAGCGGGGAAAACCAUCGUAUCGACAAUCGACGAGGAGUGGGCUGUUCCGUUCCUUUCAUCAUUAUUGUCUGUGGAGAGUUGUGGUAACUUUCAGAAAAUGGAACUGGGCGGAUCUCUUCAGGAACUCGCCCUUCCCAGUCUGUUGGACAGCCAUCGGGAACGAGAGGAGGAGAAACCCGAGACCAGCGACCAUCUCGCAAAAGAAGGGGCAGACGGCAAGAAGGCCAUCACCGCCUGGGCUCAGCAGCCUGUUUAUCAUUCAUAUGUUUGCGGUCCCCAAAAAAGAGGGUGAUAUAAAAGUCGAACUCCAACCAACAGUAAAAGAUGCUGAAUUUCAAAGCAAAGUUGUCCCGUUGAAGAGCAUUGGGAUGAUGCAAAGGCCAGCACCUCGCAAGACCCUGAUCUGGGGCAAAUUGAAAAAUCAUUGGAGAAAGUCAAGAGCCCCGGGCAAGGGGAAGGAAAAACCUGGUCAACAGCCGCUUGUGUGCCUCUGAGGAAAUUGUUAUAUGGCAGGAAGAUGUCCAAGAAAGGAGGCAAGGUGCAGGAAACAACAGCAGAGAGACUGGUUCCAUGGGCAGAUGCCAUGGCAACCAGCAUUAUCCAAGAGGCACUGAAAGAGGCUGCCCAUUGUAUGAUAGAGUUGGAAUCAACCACCUCCUCCUGCCAGAAGCUGGCUAUCCCUGAUGCCCAAGCUGAGAGCUCCAGGCCAGAGCUGGACAUGUCUGCGGGGGAAGGUGCAGAAAAAGUGGAACCAGGCACCUCCAGGGAGAAGGAACGACCACAGCUGAGUCAGCAGGGGAAGACUGCAAGCCGGCCUCUGAGAGUGACAGUCUGCAACGGAGAAGAUUCCACUUCUCUGGAGUGACCUGCUGGCUGCGAAAAGUCAAAGACCUGCUCAUUCCAAAAGAAGUGCUGAAUUAAGGAGUGGUCACAGGAGGCAGAGGAACGGCUACAGGACUCACCUGGGCCGCUUUGAGCACAUCUUCAAGGAGAAUGGUCGCAGAAAAGUGGCAUCCAUCAUCAGAGAUUGCCAUCACCCAGGACAUGCUCUUUCUCACUGGUGCCAUCAGAUACAGGAGCCUCAGGACUCAGGCUACCAGGUUCCGAUGCAGUUAUUGCCCCUCAACGAUCGGGCUCUUGAAGCAGAGGAGAUAACUUUACUCGUCGCAUCACUGAACUGUUCCCACACAAAUGGACUCACUUUCAAGGGCUCUUCAGCCUGUGUUCUCAGUAUUUAUUGCUUAGUUAUUAUUAUUAUUAUUAUUAUUAUUUAUAUUUCUUUUGUAUUUGAAGCAUUUGUUGUAUUGAUUACAAUUUCAGGAUAAAUUUUUAUAAGACCAACAGAAGCCUUGUCUUGUAGAUUUGUAAAAAUGGUAAUCAAUCACAGUAUUUUUUAAUCAAUGAAAAUCUUUUGGAGUAAAUGAUAAUUCAUUUUACUAAAAGUUAAAGUAACAUUUCUGCCAAAAUUAGACAUACAAUUCCAUAUGAUGAGUAUGCAGAGUGACUGAAUGUCACAAUCCAUGUAAUAUUUGAAAUGUUUUUAAAAAUGGGAAAAAUGCUUUCUGAUUUUUUUCUGUUCCUUCUCCUUUCACAUAUGCUGAGAAUAACUGGGUAAAGACUUCUCUAAAUGCCUCAAAUCCAUGUACAGCCCAGACUUCUACAGUGCACUGCUACCUGUGGAUGAGCACAGAUAAAACUCAGCUGAGAGACAAGUAAACUGACAUCAAAGUUUAUUCCUUGAUUUUGAGACACUCAGCACCCGAAAGUUGCUUAUUUUGCAUUCCACGACUGAUCUUAAAGUCAUAGUUUACUCAGCCCAUAGCCCUCCAGUCCUUUCCUGUGCAUUUCGCUGUCCAAAUUAACUUUAAACGACAACAUCGAACCUGCCUCAACCACUUCUGCUGCAAGCUUGUUCCACACAGCUACCACUCUCUGAGUAAAGAAGUUCCCCCUCAUGUUACCCCUAAACUUCUGCCCUUUAACUCUCAACUCAUGUCCUCUUGUUUGAAUCUCCCCCACUCUCAAUGGAAAAAUCCUAUCCACGUCAACUCUAUCUAUCCCCCUCAUAAUUUUAAACACCUCUAUCAAGUCCCCCCUCAACCUUCUACGUUCCAAAGAAUAAAGACCCAACUUGUCCAACCUUAUCCUCUUUUAUAUUCAUCUUCAUUAAUCAUUAUAUUUUCCCAGCGUGCGGUGUAAAGU